AUACGGAGGGGGUUAGCGUUGUUCGGAAUUACUGGGCGUAAAGCGCACGUAGGCGGACUGGAAAGUUGGGGGUGAAAUCCCGGGGCUCAACCCCGGAACUGCCUCCAAAACUUCCAAUCUAGAGAUCGAGAGAGGUGAGUGGAAUUCCAAGUGUAGAGGUGAAAUUCGUAGAUAGUUGGAGGAACACCAGUGGCGAAGGCGGCUCACUGGCUCGAUACUGACGCUGAGGUGCGAAAGCGUGGGGAGCAAACCGGAUUAGAUACCCGAGUAGUCC
rnacentral:rRNA from 1 species